rnacentral:misc_RNA from 1 species
AACGGUCUAUACCUGCGGUACCUGCGGAAGGAUCAUUACCGAGUUAGGGUCUUUUGGCCCGACCUCCAACCCUUUGUUUAUUAUACCAUGUUGCUUUGGUGGGCCUGCCUUUCGGGGCUGCCGGGGGCAUCACUGCCCCUGACUCGUGCCUGCCAGGAGCCUUCUUAAAUUCAGUGUUCAACGGUGCUGUCUGAGUCCCAGUAUCAAAAUAUCAAAAACUUUCAACAACGGAUCUCUAGA